UACGGAGGGAGCUAGCGUUGUUCGGAAUUACUGGGCGUAAAGCGCACGUAGGCGGUCUGUCGCGUCUGGUGUGAAAAUCCAGGGCUUAACCCUGGACCUGCAUCGGGUACGGGCAGACUAGAGUGCGGUAGGGGAGAUCGGAAUUCCCGGUGUAGCGGUGAAAUGCGCAGAUAUCGGGAGGAACACCAAUUGCGAAGGCAGCUCGCUGGGACGUUACUGACGCUGAGACGGCGAAAGCGUGGGGAGCAAACAGGG
rnacentral:rRNA from 1 species